rnacentral:tRNA from 1 species
GGAGGGUUACCGAAGUGGUCAUAACGGGGCGGUCUUGAAAACCGUUUGGCGGCAACGUCGCGUGGGUUCGAAUCCCACACCCUCCGCCA